rnacentral:rRNA from 1 species
UACGUAGGGGGCAAGCGUUGUCCGGAUUUAUUGGGCGUAAAGAGCGUGUAGGCGGUUGGAUAGGUCCGUUGUGAAAACUCGAGGCUCAACCUCGAGACGCCGAUGGAAACCAUCUAACUAGAGUCCGGAAGAGGAGAGUGGAAUUCCUGGUGUAGCGGUGAAAUGCGCAGAUAUCAGGAAGAACACCCGUGGCUAAGGCGGCUCUCUAGUACGGUACUGACGCUGAGACGCGAAAGCGUGGGGAGCAAACAGG